AUGAACGCUAGCGGCAGGCUAAUACAUGCAAGUUGAGGGGCAGCAUGAUAUACGCGAGUAUAUUGAUGGCGACCGGCGGACGGGUGAGUAAUAGGUAGGAGACCUACCUCAUACAGGGGGAUAGCAUAGAGAAAUCUGUGGUAAUACCCCAUGAGGUUAUAUGAAUAGAGGCAUAUAAUCAAAGCAUAAGCGAUUAUGCGGUAUGAGAGGGGCCUACUGACCAUUAGCUAGUUGGUGAGGUAAGGGCUCACCAAGGCGAAGAUGGUUAGGGGUUUUGAGAGAGAGACCCCCCACAUUGGAACUGAGAGACGGUCCAGACUCCUACGGGAGGCAGCAGUAGGGAAUAUUGGGCAAUGGGCGAAAGCCUGACCCAGCCAUGCCGCGUGAAGGAAGACGGCCUUAUGGGUUGUAAACUUCUUUACUACGCGAAUAGAGGUUAGUACGAGAUACUAAUAGGAAGGUAGUGUAGUAAAAAGCACCGGCUAACUCCGUG
rnacentral:rRNA from 1 species